rnacentral:lncRNA from 1 species
AUCCAGGUCUUCCAGUCAAUCAGUGUCUUCCAGAAAGAAAUCCAGGUCUUCCAGUCAGUGUCUUCCAGAAAAAUCUAUGUCUUCCACCAAAUCCAGGUCUUCCAGUCAAUCCACAUCUUCCGGAAAAAAUCCAGGUCUUCCAGCCAAUAUAUGUCUUCCUGAAGAUCCAUGUCUUCCAGAAAAUCCAUGUCUUCCAGAAAAUCCACGUCUUCCAGUAACCUCCCAGUCUUCCAGAAAAUCCACGUCUUCCCAACAAUCCAGGUCUUCCGGAUAAUUUGGGUCUUCCUGAAAAUCUACGUCUUCCAGGAAAUCCGUGUCUUCCAGCAAAUCCACGUCUUCCAACAAAGCCAUGUCUUCCAUCAAAUUAAUGUCUUCCAGCCUACUUGUGUCUUCCAACAAAGGUGUGUCUUCCAACAAAGGUACGUCUUCCAACAAAGGUACGUCUUCCAACAAAGGUCUUCCAGCAUCUCCAGGGCUUCCAGCAUCUGCUCGUCUUCCAACAUCUCCACGUCUUCCAGCAUCUCUACGUCUUCCAGCAUCUUCAUGUCUUCCAACAACUACCCAGUCUUCCAUCAACUGGCUCAAUAUCCAUGUCUUCCAACGUCUCCAGUGUGCUGAUCUUCUGACAUUCAGGUCUUCCA